rnacentral:sRNA from 1 species
AUGGCUGCGGCGGCAGAAACUGCUAUUAGCAGUAACAAUGGCUGUAGUAAUGCAGAAAACUCUCCAGAUUUCCGGGUAAGGCAUUCAGUGAUAGAUAACACAGGUCAUUGUUCUAUUAGAUUUGCAACGGCUGUGAAAAGAUUCAGUAUCCUGAAUCCAUUCUUGAUUUUCAGCGGCGACUGCUUAAAUCCUUCUGCCUUAAGUACGAUAACAAAAGGGAAGCCUAUGAUUUCUAUAUUAAAUGAAUUGGGAGUAUGUUUUACAGUUUUUGGAAACCAUGCGUUUGAUUUUGGCGUUGACAUUUUGGGAGACUAUGGAACAAAUGCACUUAACAUGGUUCCUCAGUGACAGAUUCCCAUCUGAACCUCUUGAACAUGGCGCAGUCAGAAAGACAGCCAAUCGGAAGCAUCGGAAGGAUCGGCUCAGUGGGACUGGCUCAAUACUGUGGCCACGGUUAAUGAGGCCAAGGUAAACUAGAAAGAUCACGUGGAAGCUGCUAAUGAUCUGGCAGCGGAGCUCAGAGCAGACAGAGCGGAUCUUGUGGUUGCGAUGACCCACAUCAAGUGGGAAUGACACAAGACUUGCCCAGCGCGCGGAAGGGUUCGAUUUGCUUCUGGGAAGCCAUGACCACGAGUAUGGAAUCAGGAAAGUGAAUGAGACUUGGAUUGUCAAAAGUGGAUCUGAUGUUAAAAAUCUGACAAAAAUAGAUAUACUAUAUGACUGUUUGGUGCCUCUUUCCAGUGUGCAUUUGAGAAAGUGGACAUUCUGAGCUAUUUGGAAGAAGAUUCAUGUGUCAAAGCAAUAGUAAGAGAUUUUACUCAAAACACACAGUAUACCUUAGAAGACGUUCUCUGUCCCAUGGGCGUGAAAUUACCAUAAGAAGAUGUGAGAGAAACCCUGGGAAUCUGGUGACCAAUUCGAUGGUAGAGGCCACACGUGCUGGCGUGGUACUCCUUAACUCAGGGGAUUUCGACACUCUCAGAUCUGACAGAAUACACCCACCAGGGAAUUUCACUGCACGAUCUUUAGGCCACACUCCCCACAGUGGACCUAGUCUUAGUUAUCAGAGCAAUGGGUGUGCAGCUGCCUGAAGUGCUUGAAAAUGGGGUUUACAAGUGCCCCACUCCGGAUGGGAGGUUUCCUCAAGUUGCUGGGAUAGAAUUUAGAUUUGAUCCAGAUGCAGAACCGGGACAUCAAGUCAUAAGAGACACUGUGAAAGUUCAAGGACAGCACUUACAGAAAAAGAAAGUCUAUCUCCUGGCCAUUAGGGAGUACAUUGCAAAUGGGAAGGAUGGCUACGGUAUGUUUGACCCCAAAACCGCACAGGUGCUGGCUACAGUCGCCAUGCAUCCCUUUGAAUCAAGAAAAAUUUUGCAAGGAAAGAAGAAAUGUCGUUCAGGCCAUCGAAUGAGUUUGAUCAUGACAACAAACAAAUCGCCAUCCCUCACAGCCUUUGAGGGAGAGCCAGAUGAACCAUCAGGAGUAAUUUCAGUGCCAGGCAUGGAAGGGAGAAUCUGCCAUAUUUCUCCAGACAUGAAAGAAUGUUUGCCCCAACUCAGAACUGCGAGACAGCGAGGCCUUAGAACUCUGCCCACCAUUCGUGACAAUGCACCCGAGGACUCUGACUCUGACAGAGUGUAAUGCAGUCGGUGUGUUUCGUUAGUGCUCAAAUGAAUCGGAUCAAUUUUAGCAGUGACAGGCACAGUAACAGAAUAUGGAUUCCUUGUGUCAUUCUAGAAUUGAUGAUAAUUCUAGGGAUAUUGCUCUAAAUGUUCUUUUCAUUUAAUCUUUAUCAAGUCUUUUAACUUUUGACUCUUCACUAUGUUGUGUCAGAAACACAAACAUUUGUGAUUAAAGUGUAAACAUUAUGGUGUUUAUUAUUAAAUAAAAUUCAUGCUUACCUCUUCAUGGUAUUUAUUUGUACAAUAACCUUUUUUCUCUUAGUAUUGCUUAUUUUUCUGUCCAAAUGAACGAAUAUAUUCAUAUUUAUGUAUGUGUCUAUCUAUCCCCCCUCUCUAUUUGCCUACCUGCCUAUCUGU